rnacentral:rRNA from 1 species
UAGGGAAUCUUCGGCAAUGGGGGCAACCCUGACCGAGCAACGCCGCGUGAGUGAAGAAGGUUUUCGGAUCGUAAAGCCCUGUUGUAAGUCAAGAACGGGUGUGAGAGUGGAAAGUUCACACUGUGACGGUAGCUUACCAGAAAGGGACGGCUAACUACGUGCCAGCAGCCGCGGUAAUACGUAGGUCCCGAGCGUUGUCCGGAUUUAUUGGGCGUAAAGCGAGCGCAGGCGGUUUGAUAAGUCUGAAGUUAAAGGCUGUGGCUCAACCAUAGUUCGCCUUGGAAACUGUCAAGCUUGAGUGCAGAAGGGGAGAGUAGAAUUCAAUGUGUAGCGGUGAACUGCGUAGAUAUUUGAGGGAACACCGGUGGCGGAAGCGACUCUCUGAUCUGUAACUGACGCUAAGGCUCGAAAGCGUGGAUAGCGAACAGA